rnacentral:rRNA from 1 species
ACGCUCGACACCUACGGGAGGCAGCAGUGAGGAAUAUUGGUCAAUGGACGCAAGUCUGAACCAGCCAUGCCGCGUGCAGGAUGACGGCUCUAUGAGUUGUAAACUGCUUUUGUACGAGGGUAAACGCAGAUACGUGUAUCUGUCUGAAAGUAUCGUACGAAUAAGGAUCGGCUAACUCCGUGCCCGCAGCCGCGGUAAUCUGAGCGGGCUGGCAAGGC